UCGAACGAGAAAGCAGGAGCAAUCCUGUGAGUAAAGUGGCGUACGGGUGAGUAACACGUGGAUCAUCUACCUCUUUGUGGGGGAUAACUCUGGGAAACCGGAGCUAAUACCGCAUAAGUCCGAGAGGAGAAAGCAGCAAUGCGCAGAGAGAGGAGUCCGCGGCCGAUUAGUUAGUUGGCAGGGUAAGAGCCUACCAAGACAAAGAUCGGUAGCCGGCCUGAGAGGGCACACGGCCACACUGGCACUGAAACACGGGCCAGACUCCUACGGGAGGCAGCAGUGGGGAAUCUUGCACAAUGGGGGCAACCCUGAUGCAGCGACGCCGCGUGAGCGAUGAAGCCCUUCGGGGUGUAAAGCUCUUUCGGCAGGGAAGAUUAUGACGGUACCUGCAGAAGCAGCUGCGGCUAACUACGUGCCAGCAGCCGCGGUAAUACGUAGGCAGCAAGCGUUGUUCGGAGUUACUGGGCGUAAAGGGUGUGUAGGCGGUUCUCUAAGUUUGGUGUGAAAUCUCCCGGCUCAACUGGGAGGGUGCGCCGAAAACUGGAGGGCUAGAGUACUGGAUGGGAGAGUGGAAUUCCUGGUGUAGCGGUGAAAUGCGUAGAUAUCAGGAGGAACACCUGUGGGUGUAGACGGCUCUCUGGACAGUAACUGACGCUGAGACACGAAAGCGUGGGUAGCAAACAGGAUUAGAUACCCUGGUAGUCCACGCCCUAAACGAUG
rnacentral:rRNA from 1 species